rnacentral:rRNA from 1 species
UACGAAGGGGCUAGCGUUGUUCGGAAUUACUGGGCGUAAGCGCACGUAGGCGGACAUUUAAGUCAGGGGUGAAUCCCGGGCUCAACCCCGGAACGGCCUUUGAUACUGGUGUCUUGAGUUCGGAAGAGGUGAGUGGAAUUGCGAGUGUAGAGGUGAAAUCGUAGAUAUUCGCAGGAACACCAGUGGCGAAGGCGGCUCACUGGUCCGAUACUGACGCUGAGGUGCGAAAGCGUGGGAGCAAACAGG